CCACCCCUCUCCCCUCCCAGUACCGACACACGUACAAUGCGGCGCUCGCUGCGCUUGUGGUGCAGCAAGUUGGACCUGGAUGGCAACCCGUCCCGCUACUUUCCGCGCUUCCGCCCGCGGCGGCUGGUCAUGCCAGUCGAUCCGAGCGACCUCCACAGCGACAAGCGGCAACCUAACCCGCUAUUCAUGAAGGUAAAGGCGCAAAAACGCCAACGUCGCCGUGCCGAGAUGCGUGGCGCCGUGCAGCUGGCAAGCGUUCCCAAGGAGCGCAGCGUGGGGGACGUGUACCGGCUCCUGAUGGAUGCUUGUGAGACGCAGAACUUGUUCUCCGAUGCCGCGCUAACGCCGCGGACAGUGCGAGAUCUGGAGUCUCUCCUGCAGGCCUACAAGGCCGCUAACGCAGCGCUGCGACGCUCUGGUCAAGCGUCAGCAGCUCCCCUCGAUGGUGGAGCAGCGUCGGCCGGAGAAUCGACAACGGAGCAGGGAUCGCCACGUAACGACAACGCGCCGCAACACAGCUCUCCACUGUACUCGCGUGCCUUCCAAGCGAGUCCACCGCCAGUCGCCGCAUCGUCCUUUGCCUCCGCCACUGCCGCUGACACACUCUCCAUUCGCGAAGUGGAUCAGAUGUGGUCGAUGCUCGAUCACACACCCCUCAACGCCCCCGUGCACGGCGCUCUCGCCCUACGCGGGGACGCGCUGGUACGUUCCGUAUUGCUGGAGCUCACCUACUCUGCUUAUCCGCGGCUGCGCUCGAAGCAUGUGCAGCAGUUGCUGCAUGAGACGACAGGGUUUCUGCCGUGCGGCCGCAUAGCCAUGCGGAUCGGCCUCGCCGAGCACUGCGGCGUAGAAGGUGACAUCGCCAUGUGGCGUGAGCUCAACGUCCUCUCGGAGCGCAUGCGUAUCGCGCGAAAGGAGGCGGCAGCGCACCUGCAGCGCGUCGAGAAGGGCAUAGCAGCGCAGCGCCGGUGGUACUGGAGGGCGGUGUUGCGCUCCGCCGCUGCACGGCUGAAGCUGUUUCCAGUGCACAAGGAGGACCUGUUGCCGCGCAUGCAGUGGGUGCGCAGCUUUCUCUUCGCCUUUGUUGCCUUCGUUGAGAUGGCCGAGACUUCCGGAGACGCCCACGCCCGCGUGCGACCGCUUAUCUAUCAGCUGUUUGCGAGCCAGCUGGCACGCCAUAUACGGCUCCGUCAGAUCAUCGAGGCGGCAGAGGCCAUUGUUGCCGCCACGUCCGAGCAGGACGCCCGUGUAGAUGCACCAGCAGCAGCUCCCUCGGCUACUUCGCCUCUAUCGCCGCCUUUGGGUGAUAAUGAAGCGAGUGUCGAGGCGCUCCACCGCCGCGUUGCUGAGGAGCUGGCGCGGGUCAAGUCCCGCACUGUAGACGAGGAGGAGGUGCUGGAGGGCCGUGCGCACCCAAUGAACCGCAGGGCCGACCGGCGGCGCGAACAGUUUGAGUCAAGUGGCGGCGCCCAUGGUACCCAGAUGCUCCACGAUGAGGCCCUCGAGAGGCACGCGGAGGACUACGGCCAUCUUGCACCACCGCUGCUGCUCCACGCACUUGAGUCGACUAGCCCGAAUGCGUUCAAAGAGGCGCAACUUGUCCUUCGCUAUGCGCCACAGGUAUCAGAGAAACUGCGCCGAUCACCGAUCGAUGUUGAUCAGGUGGUGCGUCGCGUCGUGGAUGUGCAGGAGACAAACAACUACGCCUCACUGCACAACGCGCAGCAGUAUCGCCAGGUGGAGUACACGGUUUGCCGCCUCUACGCCGGGCGCUACUGCCUGGGUGAGGGGAAGGGCGAAACGCUCAUGUCGGCGAUGCAGGAUGCAUCCAUGCGGAUGCUGUUGAAUUACUACCUCCGGUUUCCUUUGUCAGCACCAUCGCCGCUGGAGUCGCCGACGCGGACGGAGGGGAGCAGUGAUUGCUCCAGUCAUGGCAAUGGCAGGGCUGCUAUAGCGACGGCACACAUCCCUGACGGCGAGGACGGCAACGCGGGUGGCGUGCCGGCGCCGCGGAUUCGCUCGCCGACGACGGAGGAAGAAGUCGUGCUGUAGUGGUGGAGAGGUGAUUGCCGGCGUGGGAGAGGAGGGCGUAGGCAGGAGAUCGGGGGACACCCCUCUACCGCCUUCCUCGCCGCCCCCCCCCUUGCUUUGCUCAUGCGUACACGCGUCUUUCUUCACCCGCGCCACCCCAUCACUCUGCCCUCGAUGCCCACCUCAUCACUGCCAGCGCAGCCUCAAAGGGGGCGGGGAAGGCGAUAAUGGAGCGAGCAGCACUGGGCUGCUGCAAUGGUAAUAAGGGACGGGGUGGGACGUACUUCACAGUUCAGAUCUGAAUUCUGGGGGCGUGUGUCGCACACAAGGCGCAUGCAAGGGGUGAUGUCUUGCCUUUCGGGCAGCUCAUGCAGGCGGUGCACUAACAAGAUACAAAACGAAGCGAGUGCAGCCCUUCAGUGAAGGCUUGGCGAUCAACGGACGAGGAAUCGUCACAUCGCUUCUCUUACAAGAGGGUGUGCUUGUGGAAAGGCAGCACGCAUGGGCCAUGAACAGGAUGAGGCUGCGAGGUGCGUGCGUGUGUGCGUCUGUUGUUUUGUUGCUGCAAUGUGCCCACACGCUGAUGUGUUCCCCUCAUCCGUGCCGGUGAGUUCCUUAUAUGUUUCCUGCCCUCCCAUCCCUUGUGCCUUUUCAUCUGUUGCUCGAG
rnacentral:misc_RNA from 1 species